GGUUUAGAGGACGUAGGGGGCAAGGGAACCCCGAGUGCCUUCCACCCACUUCCAGGCCACUUUGGCCCGCGCUGCAACCAACGGUCCUGCCGCCAGGCAAUUUAGCCCUGUCUAGGGAGAGAGCACCGGGGGGUCCCAGGUUUCCCAGCCUAGAUCCUGGCUCCCCUCUCCCAACACCGCUGUGACCCCGACCGAGACGGAGUAGGGGUGGGAACCGCAGCCCUGAUCCCGAGCAGGAGGGCCGCAGUCACCCUGCCCCCACCCGGGAGCCCCGCGCCCAGGCCCGGCCCCCGCGCUCCUCACCUGGGAUGUUACUCGCAGCCUCCGGGCUCGGCGACACCUAUGCCUUAAAUCGCGCGUGAGACCACGCCGGGGAAAAAGUUUCAUAAGGUGGAAUAGAAAAGGCACCAGGAAACUUGGGAGUGAGCAUGCGCCCUGCAACAUAACGGUGUCAACAAGCUCGCUACCUGUCCGACCGGUUCCGGCGGCCGGGGCUGCCUGAUCCAGCCCUUCCUUAGGCAUGAAUGUUUGCAAAAGAAUUUAACGUCUGAUUCUUCCCCCCUCCUCUUUUUAAAAAAGGAAGAACAUUUUUCAAAUCAACCCUCUGCUUCAUACCCCUAUCACAUGCACUUUAUAGGAUAAAGUCUUUAAAACAAGCCACAGGUUCUCUGCCCCAUGCAGCCCGACUGGGAGCUGGGGUCUCCCACGAGUUGGCCCCCACCUCCGAAGUUGUUUUGUCUCCAUCAAGCAAGCCAGAUAUUAACUGUGAACCUUGUGGGGCUGUUCUAGGCUUUCUGGAAUCUCGGUGGUCGGAUGGGGGGGAGGGUCCGCAGUAUCCUUGUCAGGUAAAGGGGGGGGGGUUUGAGAACUUAAGGCUUCCUUCAUCUAGAACACCCCUCAAUAAAGCCUAAAAACACCG
ensembl:antisense 1700108N11Rik RIKEN cDNA 1700108N11 gene